AGCAGCCGCGGUAAUUCCAGCUCCAAUAGCGUAUAUUAAAGUUGUUGCAGUUAAAAAGCUCGUAGUUGAAUUUCGGGAUUAGUACGUUGGUCGUGCCUUCGGUACGUACUGGUGUUACUGAUUCCUACCUUCUGACGAACCAUCAUGUCAUUAAUUUGGUGUGGCGGGGAAUCAGGACUGUUACUUUGAAAAAUUAGAGUGUUUAAAGCAGGCUCGCGCUUGAAUACAUUAGCAUGGAAUAAUGAAAUAGGACGUUGACCCUAUUUUGUUGGUUUCUAGGAUUGACGUAAUGAUUAAUAGGGAUAGUUGGGGGCAUUAGUAUUCAAUUGUCAGAGGUGAAAUUCUUGGAUUUAUUGAAGACUAACUACUGCGAAAGCAUUUGCCAAGGAUGUUUUCAUUAAUCAAGAACGAAAGUUAGGGGAUCGAAGACGAUCAGAUACCGUCGUAGUCUUAACCAUAAACUAUGCCGACUAGGGAUCGGAUGAUGUUAUUUUAAUGACUCAUUCGGCGCCUUACGGGA
rnacentral:rRNA from 1 species